UACAGAGGGUGCGAGCGUUGUUCGGAAUUAUUGGGCGUAAAGGGCGCGUAGGCGGUUUGACAAGUCUGAUGUGAAAUCUCUGGGCUCAACCCAGAGUCUGCAUUAGAAACUGUCGGGCUUGAGUAUGGGAGAGGUGAGUGGAAUUUCCGGUGUAGCGGUGAAAUGCGUAGAUAUCGGAAGGAACACCUGUGGCGAAAGCGGCUCACUGGACCAUAACUGACGCUGAGGCGCGAAAGCUAGGGGAGCAAACAGG
rnacentral:rRNA from 1 species